rnacentral:rRNA from 1 species
CAAUAGCGUAUAUUAAAGUUGUUGCAGUUAAAAAGCUCGUAGUUGGAUUUCUGGUAGGAGUGACCGUUCCGAACUUGAUUGUUCGUGUAUUGUGUUUUCUCCAGCCAUCCUUGUGGAGAACUUUUCUUGCAUUAAUUUGUAGGGAUUGGGACCCGCAUCGUUUACUGUGAAAAAAUUAGAGUGUUUAAAGCAGGCAUUCGCUUGAAUACAUUAGCAUGGAAUAAUAAGAUAGGACUUUGGUACUAUUUUGUUGGUUUGCAUACCAAAUUAAUGAUCAACAGGAACAGUUUGAGGAUAUUCGUAUGAACAUGUCAGAGGUGAAAUUCUUGGAUUUUGAUCAGACGAACUACUGCGAAAGCAUUUAUCAAGGAUGUUUUCAUUAA